rnacentral:rRNA from 1 species
AUUGAACGCUAGCGGCAUGCUUUACACAUGCAAGUCGAACGGCAGCGCGGACUUCGGUCUGGCGGCGAGUGGCGAACGGGUGAGUAAUGUAUCGGAACGUGCCCAGUAGCGGGGGAUAACUACGCGAAAGCGUGAUUAAUACCGCAUACGCCCUGCGGGGGAAAGCAGGGGAUCGUAAGACCUUGCACUAUUGGAGCGGCCGAUAUCGGAUUAGCUAGUUGGUGGGGUAACGGCUCACCAAGGCGACGAUCCGUAGCUGGUCUGAGAGGACGACCAGCCACACUGGGACUGAGACACGGCCCAGACUCCUACGGGAGGCAGCAGUGGGGAAUUUUGGACAAUGGGGGCAACCCUGAUCCAGCCAUGCCGCGUGUGCGAAGAAGGCCUUCGGGUUGUAAAGCACUUUUGGUAGGGAAGAAACGUUGUGGGCUAAUACCCCGUGGAAAUGACGGUACCGGAAGAAUAAGCACCGGCUAACUACGUG